rnacentral:rRNA from 1 species
GGACAGUUUGAUCCUGGCUCAGGAUGAACGCUAGCGGCAGGCCUAAUACAUGCAAGUCGAGGGGCAGCGGGAGUAGCAAUACUUGCCGGCGACCGGCGCACGGGUGCGUAACACGUAUGUAAUCUACCCUUUACUGGAGAAUAGCCCGAAGAAAUUCGGAUUAAUGCUCCAUAAUAUCACUGGAAGGCAUCUUUUGGUGAUUAAAGUUCCGACGGUAAAGGAUGAGCAUGCGCGAUAUUAGCUAGUUGGUGAGGUAACGGCUCACCAAGGCGACGAUAUCUAGGGGUACUGAGAGGUUACACCCCCACACUGGUACUGAGACACGGACCAGACUCCUACGGGAGGCAGCAGUAAGGAAUAUUGGACAAUGGUCGCAAGACUGAUCCAGCCAUGCCGCGUGCAGGAUGAAUGCCCUAUGGGUUGUAAACUGCUUUUAUACGGGAAUAAACCCGGGUACGUGUACCCGGCUGAAUGUACCGUAAGAAUAAGGGUCGGCUAACUUCGUGCCAGCAGCCGCGGUAAGACGAAGGACCCAAGCGUUAUCCGGAUUCAUUGGGUUUAAAGGGUGCGUAGGCGGGUUGAUAAGUCAGUGGUGAAAGCCCAACGCUUAACGUUGGAACUGCCAUUGAUACUGUCGAUCUUGAAUGUGUUUGAUGUGGGCGGAAUAUGACAUGUAGCGGUGAAAUGCUUAGAUAUGUCAUAGAACACCGAUUGCGAAGGCAGCUCACAAAACCACUAUUGACGCUGAGGCACGAAAGCGUGGGGAUCAAACAGGAUUAGAUACCCUGGUAGUCCACGCCGUAAACUUUGAUCACUCGCUGUUGGCGAUACACUGUCAGCGGCUAAGCGAAAGCGUUAAGUGAUCCACCUGGGGAGUACGAUCGCAAGAUUGAAACUCAAAGGAAUUGACGGGGGCCCGCACAAGCGGUGGAGCAUGUGGUUUAAUUCGAUGAUACGCGAGGAACCUUACCAGGGCUUGAAAGUUAGUGACUUACCGUGAAAGCGGUAAUCUCUUCGGAGCACGAAACUAGGUGCUGCAUGGCUGUCGUCAGCUCGUGCCGUGAGGUGUUGGGUUAAGUCCCGCAACGAGCGCAACCCCUACUUCUAGUUGCCAACAGGUAAUGCUGGGGACUCUAGAGGAACUGCCCGCGCAAGCGGUGAGGAAGGUGGGGAUGACGUCAAGUCAUCACGGCCCUUACGUCCUGGGCUACACACGUGCUACAAUGGUCGGUACAAAGGGCAGCUACACCGCGAGGUGAUGCUAAUCUCUAAAACCGAUCUCAGUUCGGAUUGAAGUCUGCAACUCGACUUCAUGAAGCUGGAAUCGCUAGUAAUCGCGUAUCAGCAAUGACGCGGUGAAUACGUUCCCGGGCCUUGUACACACCGCCCGUCAAACCAUGGGAGUCGAGGGUACCUAAAGUCGAUAUCUGCAAGGAGUCUGCUGGGUCUAUCGUGACUGGGAAACAGAUCGGAAGAGCAC